GUCAGGAUGGCCGAGCGGUCCAAGGCGCUGCGUUCAGGUCGCAGUCCGGUCUUCCGGGCGUGGGUUUAAAUCCCACUUCUGACA
rnacentral:tRNA from 1 species